rnacentral:lncRNA from 1 species
CCAAAACAAAAGUAAAACUAAAACUAAAAAUAAUCUCCAUCUCAAAUUAGGCAUAAAAAAAAGUAGGUCCAAAUUUAACUGACAACCAAAGCUUACGCCUAUCAAUUGGACAAGCAAGGAAGGCUUGAGCUACACUCACAUCACCGGUAAGAGCUUGAUAUGCUUUCAUAUGAGAUACAUCACUCAUGCCUCCAAUCUUAGUAAUCUCUUCAAACAAUUGCUCUUCUGUAUAAUUUUAAAGGU